rnacentral:rRNA from 1 species
AGUGAACGCUGGCGGUAGGCCUAACACAUGCAAGUCGAACGGCAGCACAGUAAGAGCUUGCUCUUACGGGUGGCGAGUGGCGGACGGGUGAGGAAUACAUCGGAAUCUACUUUUUCGUGGGGGAUAACGUAGGGAAACUUACGCUAAUACCGCAUACGACCUACGGGUGAAAGCAGGGGAUCUUCGGACCUUGCGCGAUUGAAUGAGCCGAUGUCGGAUUAGCUAGUUGGCGGGGUAAAGGCCCACCAAGGCGACGAUCCGUAGCUGGUCUGAGAGGAUGAUCAGCCACACUGGAACUGAGACACGGUCCAGACUCCUACGGGAGGCAGCAGUGGGGAAUAUUGGACAAUGGGCGCAAGCCUGAUCCAGCAAUACCGCGUGAGUGUAGAAGGCCUUCGGGUUGUAAAGCCCUUUUGUUGGGAAAGAAAAGCAGCAGGUUAAUACCCCGCUGUUCUGACGGUACCCAAAGAAUAAGCACCGGCUAACUUCGUG